rnacentral:rRNA from 1 species
UACGUAGGUGGCAAGCGUUGUCCGGAAUUAUUGGGCGUAAAGCGCGCGCAGGCGGUCCUUUAAGUCUGAUGUGAAAGCCCACGGCUCAACCGUGGAGGGUCAUUGGAAACUGGGGGACUUGAGUACAGAAGAGGAAAGCGGAAUUCCACGUGUAGCGGUGAAAUGCGUAGAGAUGUGGAGGAACACCAGUGGCGAAGGCGGCUACCUGGCCCAUUCUUGACGCUGAGGCGCGAAAGCUAGGGGAGCAAACGGG